GGUUUCCGUAGUGAACCUGCGGAAGGAUCAUUA
rnacentral:rRNA from 1 species